GACGAACGCUGGCGGCGUGCUUAACACAUGCAAGUCGAACGGAAAGGCCUGCUUUCCCUUGUGGAUUGCGGGUACUCGAGUGGCGAACGGGUGAGUAACACGUGAGUGAUCUGCCCCCAACUUGGGUAUAAGCCUGGGAAACUGGGUCUAAUUCCCGAUAGGACUGCAGGGUGGUGCCUGUGGUGGAAAACGAUUUUCUAGUGGUUGGGGAUGAGCUCGCGGCCUAUCAGCUUGUUGGUGGGGUAAUGGCCUACCAAGGCGGCGACGGGUAGCCGGCCUGAGAGGGUGGACGGGGCCAUUGGGACUGAGAUACGGCCCAGACUCCUACGGGAGGCAGCAGUGGGGAAUAGUGGACAAUGGGCGGAAGCCUGAUGCAGCGACGCCGCGUGGGGGAUGACGGCCUUCGGGUUGUAAACUCCUUUCGACCGCGAGGAAGCCACCUGGUUGGAAGGGUGGUGACGGUAGUGGUAGAAGAAGCACCGGCUAACUACGUG
rnacentral:rRNA from 1 species